rnacentral:rRNA from 1 species
GUCCAGGAUGAAGUUGCCGUAAAAGGCAAUGGAGGUCCGAACACACAUCCGUUGAAAAGGGUGGUGAUGAGGUGUGGGUAGCGGAGAAAUUCCAAUCGAACCCGGAGAUAGCUGGUUCUCCUCGAAAUAGCUUUAGGGCUAGCCUCAAUUUAGUCUUGCGGAGGUAGAGCACUGAAUAUCCUAGGGGGCGUCAAAGCUUACCGAAGAUUAUCAAACUCCGAAUGCCGUAAAGAUGAUGAUUGGGAGUCAGACUGCACGAGAUAAGUUGGGUAGUCAAAAGGGAAACAGCCCAGACCUCCAGCUAAGGUCCCAAAGUGAGUGUUAAGUGGAAAAGGAUGUGGGAUUUCGAAGACAACUAGGAUGUUGGCUCAGAAGCAGCCAUUCAUUCAAAGAGUGCGUAAUAGCUCACUAGUCGAGAGGUCCUGCGCCGAAAAUGUCCGGGGCUAAACACUACACCGAAGCUGAGGAAUGACAAUGUCAUUGGUAGAGGAGCAUUCUUAACUGCGACGAAGCUGUACCGAAAGGAGCAGUGGAGUGUUAAGAAGAGAGAAUGCCGGAAUGAGUAGCGAGAGUGAGGUGAGAAUCCUCACGGCCGAAUAUCUAAGGUUUCCAGGGUAAAGCUGAUCUGCCCUGGGUAAGUCGGGACCUAAGGCGAGGUCGAAAGACGUAGUCGAUGGACAACAGGUUGAAAUUCCUGUACUGCAAUGUAUCAGAAAUGUGGGGACACAGACAGAGAGCCGGAGCCGGGAAUGGAGAAACCGGUGCAAGCGAGGUAGGAGAACAGCAGGCAAAUCCGCUGUUCAAUCCAAAGACGUGACGCGGAGCGAAAUUAAAGUAGCGAAGCCGGUGAGCUGGCUGUCAGGAAAAGCCGCUAUUGUGUACAUUGUACCCGUACCGUAAACCGACACAGGUGGAUGAGGAGAGAAUCCUAAGGCCGACGGAAGAAGCAUUGUUAAGGAACUCGGCAAAAUGGCCCCGUAACUUCGGGAUAAGGGGUGCCUACGAAGGUAGGCCGCAGAGAAUUGGCCCAAGCAACUGUUUAGCAAAAACACAGGUCUAUGCGAAACCGUAAGGUGAUGUAUAUGGGCUGACGCCUGCCCGGUGCUGGAAGGUUAAGGGGAGAGGUUAGACUUAAGUCGAAGCCUUGAACUUAAGCCCCAGUAAACGGCGGCCGUAACUAUAACGGUCCUAAGGUAGCGAAAUUCCUUGUCGGGUAAGUUCC